rnacentral:rRNA from 1 species
GAUGAACGCUGGCGGCGUGCCUAAUACAUGCCAGUCGAGCGAACGGACGAGAAGCUUGCUUCUCUGAUGUUAGCGGCGGACGGGUGAGUAACACGUGGAUAACCUACCUAUAAGACUGGGAUAACUUCGGGAAACCGGAGCUAAUACCGGAUGAUAUUUUGAACCGCAUGGUUCAAAAGUGAAAGACGGUCUUGCUGUCACUUAUAGAUGGAUCCGCGCUGCAUUAGCUAGUUGGUAAGGUAACGGCUUACCAAGGCAACGAUGCAUAGCCGACCUGAGAGGGUGAUCGGCCACACUGGAACUGAGACACGGUCCAGACUCCUACGGGAGGCAGCAGUAGGGAAUCUUCCGCAAUGGGCGAAAGCCUGACGGAGCAACGCCGCGUGAGUGAUGAAGGUCUUCGGAUCGUAAAACUCUGUUAUUAGGGAAGAACAUAUGUGUAAGUAACUGUGCAUAUCUUGACGGUACCUAAUCAGAAAGCCACGGCUAACUACGUG